GAGUAAUAAGAUGAAGCCAUUAACGCAAUGUACUUGGAGAUACAACCGAAGAUCAUGGACACCAGAGCUCCAUGCGAGGUUUGCGGUGGUGGUUCAUCUGCUAGGUGGCACUGAGGGUUUUCUUAAUUUCUUCUUCAUUUCAUCUUAUAUAUAUAUACACAUUUGUGUGUGUGUUUUGGUAGUUUGGUCCAUUUUGUGCAGCGGCUACGCCAAAGCAAAUAAAGAGACCACAUGGAGGCUGAAGGUUUGACCACCAAUACCAAGUACUGAAAAGCCAUUUGCA
rnacentral:misc_RNA from 1 species